CACAUCCCUCGGAGCAACUAAACCUGUGCAUCACAGCUCCUGAGCCAGUGCUCUGGAGCCCUCCAGCUGCAACUACUGAGCCCUUGUACCGCAACUGCUAAACCCUGUGUGCCUAGAGCUGGUGCUCUGCAACAAGAGAAGCCACUGCAAAAAGAAGCCUGUGCACCACAACAAAUAAAAGCUGUGCACAGCAGUGAAGACCCAGUGAUUUAAAUAAAUGUUAAAAAAAAAAUUCAACUCAUUAACCUGGCAUUUGAGGCCUUCUGCAAUAUGGCUCCAAACUGUCUUUUCUGUUUUAUCAUUGUCCCCUUUUGCAGUCUACAGUCUCACCAGGCUUAACUAAUUUAAGGUUGUAUCACUGUUUGCUCAUUGAGUUCCCUCAUCUAGAAUGUUCAUUCCUCUGUCAUUUAAAUUGCCAUCAGCUACAAAUCACAGAAAACCCCUCUUCCACCAGUUUAAACAAAAAAUAAUCUAAAUAAUGUUUAAAUGGAAUAUUUGUGGAAAUAAUAUUAGAAAAUUAAUGAGCUAAUUAAAAUUAUGGACUAAGGUGGCUGUUUAGAAGCUUCAUGAAAUAUAUUAUUGUCACCUGUCUUGUUACUUAGACCAAAACCUUGGAGUCAUCUUGACUUCUCUUUUUCUCUUAUACCCACCCCACAGUCAGUGCAUAAGUGAAUCCUGUUGCUCUUCAAAAAUAUAUUCAGAAUGUGACCAACUCUUAUCAUUGUUGCUACUAUCACCUUAUUCCUCACAACCAUCCUUUCUCACUGGGAUUAUUCCAGUUGCCUUCUAACUCAUCUCCUUGCUUCUCUGCCCUUGUCCCCAUUCUAUCUAGUCUCAGAUCAACAACCAAUCUAGUCCACUGAUAAUCUGAAGUGAAAUUAGGUCUUAAUAUUCCUUGGCUCAAAACCAUCCAGUGGCUCGCCAUGUACUUGAGAUAAGAGCCAAAGCCACUGCUGCCAUCAGCAAAGCCCUCUACAUUUGGCCCCACCUCACUCCCUAACCUCGCCUUCUACCAGUCUUCCCGCUCUCAUUCUGUCCCAGCUUCCCUGGGCUCCUUGCUGGACCCUGUGCUUCUUGCCAGCUUCACUUCUUUUUUUUUUUUUUUUAAUUUAUUUUUUUUAUUGAAG
rnacentral:lncRNA from 1 species